rnacentral:rRNA from 1 species
UACGGGGGGGGCAAGCGUUGUUCGGAAUUACUGGGCGUAAAGGGCUCGUAGGCGGCCAACUAAGUCGGACGUGAAAUCCCUCGGCUUAACCGGGGAACUGCGUCCGAUACUGGAUGGCUUGAGUUCGGGAGAGGGAUGCGGAAUUCCAGGUGUAGCGGUGAAAUGCGUAGAGAUCGGGAGGAAGGCCGGUGGCGAAGGCGGCGCUCUGGAACAUUCCUGACGCUGAGGCUCGAAAGCGUGGGGAGCGAACAGG